rnacentral:rRNA from 1 species
UACAGAGGUCCCAAGCGUUGUUCGGAUUCAUUGGGCGUAAAGGGUGCGUAGGCGGCGCGGUAAGUCGGGUGUGAAAUCUCGGAGCUUAACUCCGAAACUGCAUUCGAUACUGCCGUGCUUGAGGACUGGAGAGGAGACUGGAAUUUACGGUGUAGCAGUGAAAUGCGUAGAGAUCGUAAGGAAGACCAGUGGCGAAGGCGAGUUUCUGGACGGUAACUGACGCUGAGGCACGAAGGCCAGGGGAGCAAACGGG